UACGUAGGGUGCAAGCGUUAAUCGGAAUUACUGGGCGUAAAGCGUGCGCAGGCGGUUUUGUAAGUCAGAUGUGAAAUCCCCGGGCUUAACCUGGGAACUGCGUUUGAAACUACAAGGCUAGAGUGUAGCAGAGGGGGGUGGAAUUCCACGUGUAGCAGUGAAAUGCGUAGAGAUGUGGAGGAACACCGAUGGCGAAGGCAGCCCCCUGGGUUAACACUGACGCUCAGGCACGAAAGCGUGGGGAGCAAACAGGAUUAGAAACCCCCGUAGUCC
rnacentral:rRNA from 1 species